rnacentral:rRNA from 1 species
UACGUAGGGGGCAAGCGUUGUCCGGAUUUAUUGGGCGUAAAGAGCGUGUAGGCGGCCAUACAGGUCAGCUGUGAAAACUCGAGGCUCAACCUCGAGACGUCGGUUGAAACCGUAUGGCUAGAGUCCGGAAGAGGAGAGUGGAAUUCCCGGUGUAGCGGUGAAAUGCGCAGAUAUCGGGAAGAACACCCGUGGCGAAGGCGGCUCUCUGGGACGGUACUGAACGCUGAGACGCGAAAAGCGUGGGGGAGCGAACAGG